rnacentral:lncRNA from 1 species
CAACUGUUGUGUGAGCCAGCAACCAACAGCCUGCAGGCUGUCCCUAACAAAGGCAGUCACAGUGGAGAUGGAGGUAAUUGAGGCUGAUUGAUAUUAUAAUGACCUGGCAGGACAAAGAAUCGAACACUUCUUUUGAGGUGUUACUGACUCCAUAACUUGCCGCAUUGCUCACCUUAUGAAGUAAGACAAAACAACAAUAAGGUUGCUAGUGAUCAUUUGUUUCGGGAUGCACAGCUAAUAGGAUUAAUGCAGCUUUAAGAGUUAUUGCUGAGGCUGCCUGUAAGGGCAGACAGGAGGUCCACGAGGAAAAGGGAAGACGGAGGAGGUGGUUUUCUACCUCAAUACUGAUGGAAGAAGUAAGAGAAGAUUUGCUGCCCCCUGAUUAUCAUCCAGAGCUCUUUGGUGCACCAUCCUUCUUUUUCCCACAGCCAUGGAAGCAUACAGGAGAGGAUGACUGUCACAACCAAGUGACACGGUAACCACCACAGCUCUCUGCGAAGAAAUAAUCUCCCCUAGGUCAAUGAAGAGACAAAAAAACUCUGCCUUCCCUCCUCCCUGACUGGAUAGCAAAGUGGAAUUUCUCUUGCAUUCCCAAAUGCCAGCUCUGCCUCAGGACGCAGAUGCACCUCCCCUACAUUCCAGCAAACAGCACACAGCUCCUGCUUUAGAAAAAAUGGAGACAACUGAAUGGUUUUGUAUAAGCUGUGCUGGCAUGGGAGUCCAAAAGAACAG